GUGUACCCAUACAAAGUGAUCAUCAAAACCUGUGGAACAACAAAAUUGCUUCGAUCAAUCCCUGCCAUCCUCAAGUUGGCUGAGACUCUCUCCUUGGCUGUAAAAUCAGUGAGGUACUCUCGUGGGAGCUUUAUAUUUCCUGGUGCUCAGCCCUCUCCACAUCGUAGCUUUUCAGAGGAAGUAGCUGUCCUUGAUGGCCAUUUUGGCAAGCUUGGUUUGGCAAGCAGAGCAUAUGUUAUGGGUAGCUCUGACAAAACACAGAAAUGGCAUAUUUACUCUGCAUCGGCAGAGUUGGCAAGCUUACUUUGGGGCGCACGCCAAUCAGGACCCACAUACACAUUGGAGAUGUGCAUGACUGGUUUGAACAGGAAGAAGGCAUCUGUGUUUUACAAAUCAAAGGCAAGUUCAGCUGCUGGUAUGACUGAAGAAUCUGGCAUUAGGAAGAUCCUCCCCCAGUCUGAAAUAUGUGACUUUGAGUUUGAUCCUUGUGGUUACUCCAUGAAUUCGAUUGAAGGGAAUGCAA
rnacentral:lncRNA from 1 species